CUGUGCUUUGACUGUGAGAGUUCAGGACUGGUUGGAGCAGUGAUUGGCGGAGUGGUGGUGCUUCUGCUGAUUCUCGGUGGGAUCAUCUUCGCCCUUAUAAAGAAGGGGAAAAUUGGAACUCCAGAACAGAGGAAGUGAAUUACACUGGAACUCCAGAUCAUUCAGGAUUCCACACCAGACUUUCUUACAGCACAGACUCUUUUCCAUUCUGUAAGAUUUGGGCAUUUGGAGACCUCUCUGGUGGAAACGUGUAACUGCACACAACAUGUAAUUUUGUAACAUGGGUCUGCGCGGGACUGUUUUUUCAGUUUCGCUCCCACAAGAUUUCAUCCUGCUCCCAUAGAAAAUGGUAAUCGUUUGUACUGUUCAAGCCCACAACUGAAAUGUGCUUUCCUGCUUCCGCCCACACAGUUCCAUCAAGGGGAAGUGACAUUCAAUAUCUGACACAGUUUAUUCACAGAUACAUUCCUCUCUGCUGAAAUAACACAGCAGUCAUGGUCAUCAGGCUCACUGUGAGUAACUUCACCAAACGCCAUUUAUGCACCAUUUAAACACAAAGCAGGAAUUAAACCACAGAGUGGCUAUUUUUGGUGUUUUGCGGGGCAGCUGUGGCCUUCGUAUCAUUUAGGGAUGGUUCUGCUUUAUUCUGGCUGUUCAUUAGUUUGUGGCACUUCUCUUUAUGUGUGCUUCAUCCCGCUCCCGCCUGCAGUGGGCUGGGUUCCCUCCCGCUUCCACUCACAACACUGAAAAUUAGACCCAGAAGGCAUUGUGGCGGGUCCAGCGGGAAUCCACAGGAUUGCAGACCCCUACUUCAAACCCCUUCCCUGAGGAGAUGAUUCUGAUGACUGAGAGCUACGAGGGUCCUUUCUGUGUGGAGUCUGUAUGUUCCCCCUGUAUCUGUGUGGGUUUCCUCCCACAGUCCAAAGACCUGCAGUCAGACUAAACUGCCCCAGGUAUGUGUGUGUGUGUGUGUGAGAGAGCAAAGAGCAGUGGUUCAAGGUCAACGUGGACAUCCUGAUCCAGCGAAUGAGACACACAAAUUCCAGUUAGUGAUUUAUCUCUCUUCAUAUAAAAUCCCAAGUUUCCAUUCUCUGUAUGAUUUUCCUGGUUUUGAUCCAGCUAAUGUCUUUAUCUUCACUGUCUUGUCACAUUAAUUCCUCACAUUUACAGGUUGUUUGCCACAGCACACUGGUUAACUCUGUAGCAGAUGGUAACAGGCUACUGAAGGAAAUUUAAAAAAAUAAACAGUGUGUAUGUAUGUGCAUUUUAUUUUAUUUCCUUUUUCAAUAAAAAAGGAAUUUAUUGCUGUUCUUUCAGCUAAACCAGAUGUUCAUGCAUUUGCAAAGAAAUCUACAACUAACUCAGGCAGACUGACCCUGACCUGCCUGGCCACGGGCUUCUACCCCAAAGACGUGAAGCUGGAUGUGAGGAAGUUGCACACUUCACAGCCUGAACACCUACUAAGAUCUUCAGGAGUCAGACCCAAUGAAGAUGGAGCCUACCGGAGUGUGGAGAUCCAGGAGGACCAAACAGCAGAUUAUGACUGCUAUGUGACUCACAGCUCCAUCAAAGAACCACUAGUUACAAAAUGGGGUAAUUCGAUUUACAAUUCUUGGGAUUCCUAGCAGAGUAUAAGUCAUUCCAUGUUCUGCUUUUUCACUGUUACUGCAAUUGUUUGCUUUAUAUAACUGUAAAUGCUGCUUAACAGUACAGCAGAUGUGCAGAGACUAGACCAGAAAUUAGCUUUUUAAAUUGCAUUAAGCUGCUUAUGACACAGAACUUCAAAAUAUUGCCGACUUUAAUCAAUAAAUGUAGAAUUAUUGGUAACAAUGACACAUUUCCCCAUUAACCCUUCCUGCACCAUUGUGACUAAUUUUAAAUAAGGGGAAAAUGUACGUAUGUCCUCAUACAGUAACUUUUCAAAUAAACCUGUGUUAGUCCUGGACAAAGAAACCCUGAGCGUAGGGUUCUCUCAGGCAGGUCAAUGUUCAUACAUCCUUGGAAUAAAGCCGUUCUGAUCUGGACCGUCUCUAAAACACUGGUUGAUUUCAGUAGCGUAAUGCAGUCGGGUUGAUCAGAAUAAGAUUUCUAUACAGAUUCAUUGUAGAUGAGGAGGCCAUACUUCAGAUUCAGAGUUACAUCUGCUGUUCCCACAGUUCAUUUAUUCCAUUUGAAAACUUUCAUUUCAGAAACUGUUUUUUGUUAUUUAAAAAAUGUGGCUCAGAUUUUUGUUCAUUUAUGUGUCUACAGAGGGCCCUCCCUCGCAGGGUGGUCUGGGUUUGGCUAUUGGAGGAGUUGUAGGUGUGAUUUGUGCUGGUUAGAGUUGUCAUCUUUAUCCUGAAUGUAUAAACUGAGUUCAUAUUCCGAGGAUUAUAUUCAGAUUCUGUUCAAAGUACAAAGAAUAUGCACUCUGAAAAUGGACUUCUAUGUCAGAUGACCAAAAAAAAAAAAAAUCUGGCUGAGAAGUGUUCUACUUGCCGUUAUCUGUGAUAACAGAAUGUUUUUUUUUUCAUAUUUUCCACUGGUUGCUAAGUAUUGACUGCUUUACAAAAGUACAAAGUACAAAAGUACAAAAGUAGUGACAGUAGAACUAAACACACUGGCAUUAACCAGAAGUGAACAGAAUUGGGUGCGAAAAGUAACUCUAGCACAUACUGAAGUACGGAAACAGCUGAGCUGAACCUGAGAUUCUGACAGUUUCAUGGUCUGUCUGUGACAGAGCAGUAAAGUCAGUUUACACUGAACAUUUGUUGGGUAUUUGACAUUCUCUCCUCAAUUUCUCAUGAAAUAAACAUUCGAAAAAGAUCAAAACUACAUUUCCUCACUCCUCAGAAUAAAGCCAACAAAACAAUCAAAUAUAUUUCAGAAGUAUCACUUGUUAAAGUGCACAAAACAUGAUCAUUUGGAAAUGAGGAUAACUGGUGCGAUAGUCAUUAAGGGACCAUCUAAAAAGUACAUACAUAUGUUUUAUUUCAUGUAUUUUGCUAAAAGAGGGCAAAAUCUCACUUGUAAUAAACAGAGUGGCGUCUCUUAACUGGGUUUUGCAGUUGACUAAAAGGAGGCCGCUUUCUUAACUGGCUUUGAACUGUUUAGAUGUUCUGUUAAUGACUAAAGCAUCUGCCUUUCUGAAACAUUGUAGAUUGUUUUCUGUCUUCACAGGACUGAGAAAAUGUAGGAUUGAUCAUUUUUCAAUAUUUGUUUCAUGAGAAAUUGAGAAAAGUUGAAUAUUCAGAAAAAAAAGUUUAUUAUUAAUGCAUCUUGAUGCAUCUUUUUUCUGUACAGGAUUUCUAUUUUCUUACUGUCUGAGGACUUGGUACUUUUAAAGCAAAGUAUUUGUAAUGAUCCAUAAUGCGUUUACUUCUAAUAUCUUGUAUUAAUAAAUCAAAUGGAGGUGAUGUGGUUAGUGAACUAA